AUUUAUGUUCCAAUCUUGUUUUAUCAUGUCCGAUGCCUUCCGUCCAAUCAUGUAACACGGAGCUUGGGUGUUAGAUGACGUCACAUGGGGCAUGACUGAUGCAUCGGCGACUCUUAGACCCUCAACAUGCCGGACCCUUCACAACAAAAUAAAGAGAUUAGCCAAUGUUACGGUCAAUGAUCAAGAGGAAACAUUCAUUGGUUCUGGACUGCGUACAUGAGAAUAACGAUGGCGCUUGGAACGGUUAGUUGGACACGAAAUACACAUAUGGACUGUUUCGUUAAUACGAUGAUUUGGAUCAAUAUUAGGCUGAUCAGAAGGAUUCGUCGACUUCAAUCGAAUUUCACCUCUUGAUUUGGGAUGCUGAACUGCUAGUAUUGAAUAGAGCAACAAUGCAAUGCUCAUAACAUAUGCUCACGUCAUCCCAGUUUUGUCUGAGAGUCCUCUUGCAACCACAGCUCCAGAUGCACCUGCCCCAACUACAAAAAAAGUGAAGAAAGUUCAGGGAUUUCAAAGGGGGA